UACGUAGGGUGCGAGCGUUGUCCGGAAUUAUUGGGCGUAAAGGGCUCGUAGGCGGUUUGUCGCGUCGGGAGUGAAAACGCCGUGCUUAACACGGCGCUUGCUUCGAUACGGGCAGACUAGAGGUAUGCAGGGGAGAACGGAAUUCCCGGUGUAGUGGUGAAAUGCGUAGAGAUCCGGAAGAACACCGGUGGCGAAGGCGGUCUGCUGGGCAGUAGCUGACACUGAGGCGCGACAGCGUGGGGAGCAAACAGG
rnacentral:rRNA from 1 species